GGCUUCUCUAUCCAUAGGAUUUCCCAGGCAAGCAUCCUGGAAUGGGUUGCGUUUCCUUCUCCAGGAGAGAUCUGUGCUAACCAUAACCAUAAAAUGUCUCAAGCUCUCAGUGACCUGGGAGGCCUGACGUACUCUGCCUUAAUACUAAUACAUCUAACUCUUGGGUGCAUGAUGGUUUGGAAAUGUAAUCUGAUUUAUCUGAGCACCCUUCCAUUUUAUCAUAGUAGAGUGUAAUGGCUGAAGACACAGACUCUGAGACUUUGGGUAAAAGUCUCAGUUUGCUACUUGCUAUCUUUGUGAUUUGGACAAGUUGCUCAGACUCUCUGGGCUUGACUUUCCCACCUAUAAAUAGGAAUGAGGAUAAAAAGAGUGGUACUUAUCUCGUGCAUUUGUUUUGAGGUUUAUACAUGAGUCUACACAAGAGAAACACUUAAAACAAUGCCUGGAAUACAUAAAACACUCAGUAGUUCCUAUUAUUAUUUCUUCUACAUCCUCUCGACUGCAGUAAGCAUUCACAUAGGUUUUAUCCAAAUAUUCAUUAUUUAUCAAAUUAUAAAAUAAAGUGUCUGAAGAUGUCACAGCCUCUACAAGCUGGUUACCCUAAACUCAAUUUAUAUUUGGUUUGCUCACUUCCUGUAACCACUCUAGUCUUCAGGGAAAAGUCCUCUCUAAGUCUGAUGUAUUUUUUUAAAUCUCAAAUAUAUUCUUUCUCAGUCUGUCCCAUUUUGUUCCCAUAUCCUGAAUGCUUGAUCCAGUCACCAUUUGGUUAUCUUUCUUUUAAAUCUACCUCCUAUUGUUUUUAGGCCUUUAUUCAUUUACUCAAUAGAUAUUCAUGUAUUCACUCAUUGCUAAAUAAAUAUGUUGGAUCUUUAUUAUAUGUAAGCUUUGGAGGUAAAAUAUAAAGGUGAUAUUGUCUAUAUUUUCACAAUUUACUCAGAAAAGCAGACAAUUUAAAAAC